GCACCUUCGAGUGAGUGGCAGACGGGUGAGUAACGCGUGGGAACGUGCCUCAAGGUACGGAAUAGCACCGGGAAACUGGUGGUAAUACCGUAUAUCUCCUUCGGGAGAAAGAUUUAUCGCCUUGGGAUCGGCCCGCGUUGGAUUAGCUAGUUGGUGGGGUAAAGGCCUACCAAGGCGACGAUCCAUAGCUGGUCUGAGAGGAUGAUCAGCCACACUGGGACUGAGACACGGCCCAGACUCCUACGGGAGGCAGCAGUGGGGAAUAUUGGACAAUGGGCGCAAGCCUGAUCCAGCCAUGCCGCGUGAGUGAAGAAGGCCUUCGGGUUGUAAAGCUCUUUCACUGGCGAAGAUGAUGACGGUAGCCAGAGAAGAAGCCCCGGCUAACUUCGUGCCAGCAGCCGCGGUAAUACGAAGGGGGCAAGCGUUGUCCGGAAUUACUGGGCGUAAAGGGCGUGUAGGCGGAAUGCCAAGUUAGAUGUGAAAGCCCCGGGCUCAACCUG
rnacentral:rRNA from 1 species